rnacentral:rRNA from 1 species
AGAGCGAACGCUGGCGGCAGGCCUAACACAUGCAAGUCGAGCGCCCGUAGCAAUACGGGAGCGGCAGACGGGAGAGUAACACGUGGGAACGCGCCCUUCGGUUCGGAAUAACUCAGGGAAACUUGAGCUAAUACCGGAUACGCCCUUACGGGGAAAGAUUUAUUGCCGAAGGAACGGCCCGCGUCCGAUUAGCUUGUUGGUGAGGUAAUGGCUCACCAAGGCGACGAUCGGUAGCUGGUCUGAGAGGAUGACCAGCCUCACUGGGACUGAGACACGGCCCAGACUCCUACGGGAGGCAGCAGUGGGGAAUAUUGGACAAUGGGCGCAAGCCUGAUCCAGCAAUGCCGCGUGAGUGAUGAAGGCCUUAGGGUUGUAAAGCUCUUUACCCGGGAUGAUAAUGACAGUACCGGGAGAAUAAGACUCCGGCUAACUCCGUGCCAGCAGCCGC